rnacentral:lncRNA from 1 species
AGAGAUUUCACCUCAGAGUCACACCGCUCUGGCUUUUGUGAUUCUGAAAAUGUCACUCCUGUCAUUUGUCAAAUAUGCCUGAAACCUGCGUGCUCGCGGCACAUCUUGAGUCCAGAGGAAACUAUGCGACAUCAGACUCCUUUGCAAACAUCAUCCGAUUCAGAGCCACCUGAAGCUGAUAGGAGGGAGCAAGUGGCGAUCCAUGGGCAUGAAUGAUCUGACCCUUCUCUAUGUAAG